rnacentral:rRNA from 1 species
GUGUCAGCAGCCGCGGUAAGACGGAGGUGGCAAACGUUGCUCGGAAUUACUGGGCUUAAAGGGCGUGUAGGCGGUCGAUUAAGUCGGGUGUGAAAAACCUCGGCCUAACCGAGGAACUGCAUUCGAUACUGAUCGGCUAGAGUGCGAGAGGGGCAAGUGGAACUCCAGGUGUAGCGGUGAAAUGCGUAGAUAUCUGGAGGAACGCCGGUGGCGAAAGCGACUUGCUGGCUCGUAACUGACGCUGAGGCGCGAAAGCCAGGGGAGCAAACGGGAUUAGAUACCCUGGUAGUCC